ACGUUUGGGUGAUCGCUGCGGCCCUUUGGCCGUAGAGGAAAGUCCAUGCUCGCACAGCCUGCGACGGCUGUAGUGUUCGUGCCUGGCGAAGUCAUAAGUCAGGGUAGCCUGUAAAGGUUAACGGCAGGGAAAAGACCUAAGUCCGCCGGAUAUGGUCUGACUACCUUGAAAGUGCCACAGUGACGGAGUCCCCGAAGAAAUGAGGGGAGUGGAACGAGGUAAACCCCACGAGCGAGAAACCCAAAUUAUGGUAGGGGCAUCUUCUCCAAGGAAAUGAACGAGAGAGAAGGACAGGGCAACCUGUAGAUAGAUGGUCGCCACCGGAGUACGAGGCGGGAGCCGCUGGCAGUACAAAGGUACAGAACAUGGCUUAUAGAA
rnacentral:RNase_P_RNA from 1 species